CGUCGCGUCCCAUGCAGCGGCGCCUUCCGAACCGGGUCAGGUCGGGAACGAAGCAGCCCUAAGGGAUGGCCGUCGGGUGCCGUGGUCCACGUGGUGGGA
rnacentral:SRP_RNA from 1 species